rnacentral:tRNA from 2 species
GGUGUUGUAGCUCAACGGCUAGAGCAUCCGGCCUGUAACCGGAAGGUUGGGGGUUCGAAUCCCUCCAGCACCU